rnacentral:rRNA from 1 species
GACGAACGCUGGCGGCGUGCUUAACACAUGCAAGUCGAACGAAGAGCGAUGGAAGCUUGCUUCUAUCAAUCUUAGUGGCGAACGGGUGAGUAACGCGUAAUCAACCUGCCCUUCAGAGGGGGACAACAGUUGGAAACGACUGCUAAUACCGCAUACGAUCUAACCUCGGCAUCGAGGAUAGAUGAAAGGUGGCCUCUAUUUAUAAGCUAUCACUGAAGGAGGGGAUUGCGUCUGAUUAGCUAGUUGGAGGGGUAACGGCCCACCAAGGCGAUGAUCAGUAGCCGGUCUGAGAGGAUGAACGGCCACAUUGGGACUGAGACACGGCCCAGACUCCUACGGGAGGCAGCAGUGGGGAAUCUUCCGCAAUGGACGAAAGUCUGACGGAGCAACGCCGCGUGAGUGAUGACGGCCUUCGGGUUGUAAAGCUCUGUUAAUCGGGACGAAAGGCCUUCUUGCGAAUAGUAGAAGG